AAUCAACGCUGGCGGCGUGCCUCAGACAUGCAAGUCGAACGAGAAAUCCCGAGCAAUCGGGAGAGUAAAGUGGCGCACGGGUGAGUAACACGUAGGUAAUCUACCUUCGGGUGGGGAAUAACCCAGGGAAACUUGGGCUAACACCGCAUAAUGCAGCGGCACCACAUGGUGACAGUUGUUAAAGCGGGGGAUUUUCGGACCUCGCGCCUGAAGAGGAGCCUGCGGCGGAUUAGCUUGUUGGUAAGGUAACGGCUUACCAAGGCGACGAUCCGUAACCGGCCUGAGAGGGCGGUCGGUCACACUGACACUGACAUACGGGUCAGACUCCUACGGGAGGCAGCAGUCGGGAAUUUUGGGCAAUGGGCGAAAGCCUGACCCAGCAACGCCGCGUGAAGGAUGAAAUCCCUCGGGAUGUAAACUUCGCAAGAAUGGGAAGAAUGAACGAGCGCUAAUACCGUUCGUGAUGACGGUACCAUUUGUAAGCUCCGGCUAACUCCGUGC
rnacentral:rRNA from 1 species